AUUGAACGAUGGCGGCAGGCCUAACACAUGCGCGUCGAAUGAGUGGCGUACGGGUGAGUAAUGUAUGGGAAACUGCAUGAUGGAGGUGGAUAACUACUGGAACCGCUUGCUACUAUCGUAUACCAUCGGAUGUUCCCAGAUGGGAUUAGCUGGUAGGUGGGGUAAAGGCUCACCUGGGAGAAGCUCCCUAGCUGGUCUGAGAGGAUUACCAGCCACACGGGAACUGAGACACGGUCCAGACUCCUACGUGAGGCAGCGGUGGGGGAGAUGCCACAAUUGGCGGAAGCCUGAGGCAGCCAUUCCGCGUGUAUGAAGAAGGCCUUCGGGUUGUAAAGUACUUUCGGCGGGGAGGCGUUACCCGCAGAAGAAGCACCGGCUAACUCCGUGCCAGCAGCCGCGGUAAUAC
rnacentral:rRNA from 1 species